GUCGUUUCCUUAGUCCGGGCAACUGUCUGGGCUUUGAGCAAGAGGAAGCUGCAGCCCACCCGGGCACCCUCACCCCGACACCUUCAGCAGUAAACAAGAUAAAACAAUUCCUUAAAGAUAAGCCUGAGCUUGUAGAUGUAAAAGUUGGUGUCCGAACCAGGGGCUGUAAUGGCCUUUCUUAUACUGUAGAAUAUACGAAAACAAAAGGAAAUUCUGAUGAAGUUAUACAAGAUGAAGCCAGAGUAUUCAUCGAAAAGAAAGCACAGCUAACACCUUUAGGAACAGAAAUGGACUAUGUUGAAGACAAAUUAUCCAGUGAGUUAUGUUCAAUAACCCAACAUGAACUUGUGGCUGUGGAGUAAGUUAAUAUUUG
rnacentral:lncRNA from 1 species